rnacentral:rRNA from 1 species
CCCCUAGAUGUUCUGGGCCGCACGCGCGCUACACUGAACAGUUCAACAAGUCUUAACCUUGGCCGAUAGGUCUGGGUAAUCUUUGAACGCUGUUCGUGAUGGGGAUAGACCUUUGCAAUUAUGGGUCUUCAACGAGGAAUUCCUAGUAAACGCAAGUCAUCAGCUUGCAUUGAUUACGUCCCUGCCCUUUGUACACACCGCCCGUCGCACCUACCGAUUGAAUGGUCCGGUGAAAUCUCGGGACGGCGGCUUGGUCGCUUGCGUCCGACUGCUGAAACUUGAUUAAACCAUAUCAUUUAGAGGAAGGUGAANUCGUANCA